rnacentral:rRNA from 1 species
UAGGGAAUCUUCGGCAAUGGACGAAAGUCUGACCGAGCAACGCCGCGUGAGUGAAGAAGGUUUUCGGAUCGUAAAACUCUGUUGGUAGAGAAGAACGUUGGUGAGAGUGGAAAGCUCAUCAAGUGACGGUAACUACCCAGAAAGGGACGGCUAACUACGUGCCAGCAGCCGCGGUAAUACGUAGGUCCCGAGCGUUGUCCGGAUUUAUUGGGCGUAAAGCGAGCGCAGGUGGUUUAUUAAGUCUGGUGUAAAAGGCAGUGGCUCAACCAUUGUAUGCAUUGGAAACUGGUAGACUUGAGUGCAGGAGAGGAGAGUGGAAUUCCAUGUGUAGCGGUGAAAUGCGUAGAUAUAUGGAGGAACACCGGUGGCGAAAGCGGCUCUCUGGCCUGUAACUGACACUGAGGCUCGAAAGCGUGGGGGAGCAAAACAGGAUU